UUCCUGGUGGCUCAGACAGUAAAGCAUCUGCCUACAAUGCGGGAGACCCGGGUUCAAUCCCUGGGUAGGGAA
rnacentral:tRNA from 1 species